AGAGUUUGAUCCUGGCUCAGAAUGAACGUUGGCGGCGUGGAUUAGGCAUGCAAGUCGAGCGAGAAGUUUUCCUUCGGGAGAACGGACAGCGGCGAACGGGAGAGUAACGAGUGGAGUACCUACCCUGAGACUCGGGAUAGCCGCGGGAAACUGCGAGUAAUACCGAAUAAUGUCUCCGGACCAAAGGUGCGAUUCCGUCUUGGGAUGGCUCCGCUUCCUAUUAGCUUGUUGGUAAGGUAAUGGCUUACCAAGGCUACGAUGGGUACCGGGUGUGAGAGCAUGACCCGGCUCACUGGGACUGAGACACUGCCCAGACACCUACGGGUGGCUGCAGUCGAGAAUCUUCGGCAAUGGGCGCAAGCCCGACCGAGCGACGCCGCGUGCGGGAUGAAGGCCUUCGGGUUGUAAACCGCUGUACAGAGGGGAUGAAAUGCUAGUUGGCAAUCCAGCUAGUUUGACAUAUCCUCAGAGGAAGGACGGCUAAGUU
rnacentral:rRNA from 1 species